CGGACGGGUGAGUAACGCGUGAGUAACCUGCCUUACACAAGGGGAUAGCCGUUGGAAACGACGAAUAAUACCCUAUGAAGUUACUAUCUCGCAUGAGAUAAUAACCAAAGUGUUAGCGGUGUAAGAUGGACUUGCGUCUGAUUAGCUAGUUGGUGAGAAAAAAGCCCACCAAGGCAACGAUCAGUAGCCGGCUUGAGAGAGUGUACGGCCACAUUGGGACUGAGACACGGCCCAG
rnacentral:rRNA from 1 species